GGAGGGGUGGCAGAGCCUGGUCGAAUGCACCGGUCUUGAAAACCGGCGGGCCGUGAGGAAAAAUCGGACUUCAACGCCGCUGAAGGCAUCUUUUGACGUGCAUCUGGUACGCGUCAUAGCAUUAUCGUACCAGUUGACGCGUCAUAAUGGCCUCUCUCGUCCACCA
rnacentral:tRNA from 1 species